rnacentral:pre_miRNA from 17 species
CUCCGCUGCGGAUCAGUGACGACCUCAGUGAACAUUCAACGCUGUCGGUGAGUUUGGAAGUAUAAAUGAAACCAUUGACCGUUGACUGUACCCUGCGGCCGGGAUGGUAACUGCUGUGGAAG